rnacentral:pre_miRNA from 1 species
UAGCUACAAAAUAACUUAUUCUACAGCCACUUUGAGUUACGAUAAUUACUAUGUUAAUUUACGAGAUUAUAGUAACUCCAUACUAAGUGGUUUACUAUAACGUUAUGGUAAAUAUCUCCAUGUGUUAUAGUAACGACCCAACUAUUGUAAAUAUGUAUUGAUAUUAUCGUAAAUUAGUAUAUAAAAUUAUCGUAAAUAGAGAUGGCUACAGAAUAACUUAUUUUGUAGCUG